ACAGAACAGUUGAUCAGUUGAUCAUCACCAUGAAGACUGUCCUGGUCCUCUCCAUUCUCCUCUGUGCUGCAUUUGCAGCUCCACAACCAGAGGGAGAGAAGACAAAUGAAGAGAAGGCUCCAGAGAUGGACAAGAUGAUGAAGGAUGAGGAAGUGCUUGUGCCAGAAGAAUUUGUCCCUGUUCCCAGAA